CUAGAUAUUAUUUGAUCAGAUCUCGGUGAUAGUAGCAAUAAUUUCAAAUGAAUUUCGUCGCUAUGCGACAUAAAGCUUUGAAGACUGAUGUGGGAAAUGCUUCCUUGUCAAUGGCAAUCAGACAAGGGUUAGUCGGUCCUUAGUUUCUGCUUAAUAGCUGUUUAAGGAAUUUUUAUUCCUUCUGAAACGAAAGGGAAUCAGGUUAAUAUUCCUGAACUCAAGUUUUUAGAUUGACCUAGGCUGUAAAGCCACGUCUUAAUAGAUUAACUAAGUUUAAAUGUCCGGGAAAAGUAUCUCUUUUUCUUUACAAUAGAGGCUAGCAUAGCUGCCUCAAUAAAUCCUCGGAAAUACUUUAUGUAGAGAAGAGGAUUUUUUAAUAUUGGUAGAAUAAAACAUUUUAUGUUUUGUGGACACAAUUUUAAAUUAGUCUUGAAACAUCUAUUAAGUACUUUAUUGGAUAAUUUAUUAUCUUUUACAAUCUAUAAACAUGAACCGUACAAUAAUCCGCAACAGGUUCCCAAAGCUAAUAACUUAUAGUUGUAUAGAGUAAUGUGAGUAAGGGAAGUCGGCAAAUUAGAUUUGUAUCUUUGGUAGAAAGGUUGGCUCUUAAAUUUGAAUAACUCAGACUUUCUCCGAACUUUUUCACCUUUCUCUGAAAGGAUGAGGUAAACAGACUUUUUGAUCUGGCAAGUAAUUUCCGAAUAAACGCCGGAGAGAAAAAUCAUAUUAUCCGAAUUAGGAACGAGAUAGUGCAGAUUUUUUCACUGAGGUGUUUAAAUCGAAUGAGUUAUAACAAACAUUCAUCUAAGAACCGCUUGAAUCUAGAGGAAUCCAACUGUUUAAUUAAAACAAAGCAAAGAGAAAGCUUUAUAUAGUAUUACCUCUUUGUGAUUUCUGCUCAGUGCUUGAAUGUCAAAGUGAAGAAAUUCAAACAAGCACAAGUCAACAGCGGGAGUAACUAUGACUCUCUUAAGGUAGCCAAAUGCCUCGUCAUUUAAUUUGUGACGCGCAUGAAUGGAUUAAUGUGAUUCCUACUGUCCUUAUUUGCUUUCUAGCGAACCCACUGCCAAGGGAACGGGCUUGGUUUGAAUCAGCGGGGAAAGAAGACCCUUUUGAGUUUGACUCUAGUUUAAUUUCGUAGAAUAUCAUAAUAGGAGUAGAAUAGGUGGAAAAUUUAUUAACGAUGCAAUACCACUACUAUUAAUUUGUUAUUUUGCUCAUUGCGUAGUAAGUGGUAUCUUCUAAAAACAAGUUAAAACAACGUUUUAACAACAUUUGUGUUACAUAAAACAUUUAAAUCGAGAGUUUGGCUGGGGCGGCACAGAUGUUAAAAGAUAACGCAACUGUACAAAGAUCAGCACAAAAAGAUUAGAAAUCUAUUGUCGCGAAUAAGGUCAAUAGCUGGUUUGACAAUUGUUUUCAGUAAAAGCGAUUGAUACGAAAGUAUGUCCUAACGAUCCUUUAGCAAAUUUUAACUAUUUCUUUUAGUUCAAGGCCAGAGGUGUCAGAAAAAUUACCAGAGGGAUAACUGGCUUGUGGCAACCAAGCGUUCAUAGCGACGUUGCCGUUUGAUCCUUCGAUGUCGGCUCUUCCUAUCACUAUGAAGCAGAACUCAUAUAUUGUAGGAUUGUUCACCCAUCAAUAGGGAACGUGAGCUGGGUUGUAAAAACAACUAAUAUUGAUUGGGUUGAUUAAAUAAAAACUGCUUCUUAAAACAAAACAAGACCACAAGCAUAGAAAAAGAAAAAAAAAUGACAUCCUCCAUGUGUUUUAAAUUAUUAAACACACACUUAAUACUUUCGAUUAUUAACAGUACACACAAUUCGUCUAAGGCUUUUGUUCCUUCUUUCAACUUCAUUGCAACUAGUAAUCUAACAUAACAAACACUCCCUUGGAUAAGGAGUAUAACACUCCCUUGGAUAAGGAGUAUAAAUAAGGAGUAUAGCAUAAAAGGCGUUAACACUCCCUUGGAUAAGGAGUAUAAUAUAAAAACAAACAGAACCAAGCGUUAAAAAGAAACAGAACUAAUAGUCUCAAAUACAACUUAGACCGUCGUGAGACAGGUUAGUUUUACCC
rnacentral:rRNA from 1 species